rnacentral:rRNA from 1 species
GGCGUGCUUAACACAUGCAAGUCGAACGGAAAGGCCCUGCUUUUGUGGGGUGCUCGAGUGGCGAACGGGUGAGUAACACGUGAGUAACCUGCCCUUGACUUUGGGAUAACUUCAGGAAACUGGGGCUAAUACCGGAUAGGAGCUCCUGCUGCAUGGUGGGGGUUGGAAAGUUUCGGCGGUUGGGGAUGGACUCGCGGCUUAUCAGCUUGUUGGUGGGGUAGUGGCUUACCAAGGCUUUGACGGGUAGCCGGCCUGAGAGGGUGACCGGCCACAUUGGGACUGAGAUACGGCCCAGACUCCUACGGGAGGCAGCAGUGGGGAAUAUUGCACAAUGGGCGGAAGCCUGAUGCAGCAACGCCGCGUGCGGGAUGACGGCCUUCGGGUUGUAAACCGCUUUCGCCUGUGACGAAGCGUGAGUGACGGUAAUGGGUAAAGAAGCACCGGCUAACUACGUGCCAGCAGCCGCGGUGAUACGUAGGGUGCGAGCGUUGUCCGGAUUUAUUGGGCGUAAAGGGCUCGUAGGUGGUUGAUCGCGUCGGAAGUGUAAUCUUGGGGCUUAACCCUGAGCGUGCUUUCGAUACGGGUUGACUUGAGGAAGGUAGGGGAGAAUGGAAUUCCUGGUGGAGCGGUGGAAUGCGCAGAUAUCAGGAGGAACACCAGUGGCGAAGGCGGUUCUCUGGGCCUUUCCUGACGCUGAGGAGCGAAAGCGUGGGGAGCGAACAGGCUUAGAUACCCUGGUAGUCCACGCUGUAAACGGUGGGUACUAGGUGUGGGGUCCAUUCCACAGGUUCCGUGCCGUAGCUAACGCUUUAAGUACCCCGCCUGGGGAGUACGGCCGCAAGGCUAAAACUCAAAGGAAUUGACGGGGCCCCGCACAAGCGGCGGAGCAUGCGGAUUAAUUCGAUGCAACGCGUAGAACCUUACCUGGGUUUGACAUGGAUCGGGAGUGCUCAGAGAUGGGUGUGCCUCUUUUGGGGUCGGUUCACAGGUGGUGCAUGGCUGUCGUCAGCUCGUGUCGUGAGAUGUUGGGUUAAGUCCCGCAACGAGCGCAACCCUUGUUCACUGUUGCCAGCACGUUAUGGUGGGGACUCAGUGGAGACCGCCGGGGUCAACUCGGAGGAAGGUGGGGAUGACGUCAAGUCAUCAUGCCCCUUAUGUCCAGGGCUUCACGCAUGCUACAAUGGCUGGUACAGAGAGUGGCGAGCCUGUGAGGGUGAGCGAAUCUCGGAAAGCCGGUCUCAGUUCGGAUUGGGGUCUGCAACUCGACCUCAUGAAGUCGGAGUCGCUAGUAAUCGCAGAUCAGCAACGCUGCGGUGAAUACGUUCCCGGGGCUUGUACACACCGCCCGUCAAGUCAUGAAAGUUGGUAACACCCGAAGCCGGUGGCCUAACCGUUGUGGGGGAGCCGUCGAAGGUGGGACUGGUGAUUAGGACUAAGU